UGAAGCUCAGUGUUGUAUACGCAGAAAGUUUGUAAGCAAACCAGAAAUACCGAAUCUGAAAGACGUGUAGCGAACGCAAAGAUAUGGCAGCAUCAAAGACCACUCACGAGCGUCGCAUCGUUAAAAUUAAAGGGGAUUAUAGUUCAACAUGGCGACGACAGGACACCAACCUGUAAAGCCUUGACCACAGAAGAGAAUUUAAACGAAAUCAUAGAAAUUCUCCUUGAUUUUGAAAAACAUACAAGACCUGUAGAUACCAUUUCAGCAAGGUGCAUCUUGGAACCGAUUGUCCAGAUCAGUUUCGGAAUUAAGCCGUGGCACCUUAGCAAUGAAAAUAUCCUAAGCUAGAACUAACGAAGGAGCAAGCUAAAAUCUUUGGGUCUAAUAGUACCAACUGGUAUGGCAAAUGGGAGAGACCUCCACCCUGUCACGAGUUGUGGAUAUGAAUGUACAAAUCUGUGAAUAUUGGAUUUGAUACUCAGAACUGUUCCUGUUAGAAAGGUGCACAUGAAUUUGGUCUUUGUUUUUGUUAUUCUUUUUUACAUAAAAUAUUUUAUUUUCGAUCUAUGUUGGAGUGGAUCGAGGCUGAUGCAUACUUUCUUGUCAUAAUGCAAGAGAAAUAGGGUAAAGUUGCUGAAGCUGCAGACAUUCUCCAAGAACUUCCGUUCAAGACCAUUGAUUCUAUGGAAAAGCUAGAAAAUUGAACAGGUGGAGCUUAUCUUGAAACAAAUGAGAUUGUUUCUUCUGCAUCUGCACUCAGAUCAGGUUGAAAAAGAUAAGUGUCAGAUUUGUUUUUAGAGAAAGAUGUGCUCAGUCUUAAAUUGAAAUAUUUUCAUGUAGGAAUAGUUUAACAUUGUUACAUCUGUCAUAUUAAGCGUGGGAAGGGGGAGAGGAAAUGUUGGUGGAUUAUUCAUCGUUGUGUAGAUUCCUGAUGUUGACAAGAACAGGUAUUAUGUCUCUACAUUUGUUAACAUAAUCAAGCCAUGUACAACACAACAGUGAUCCUGGAGAAAGAGUUUCUGCAAUUGUUGGUUGUUGUCGAGGUGAUGUUUCGGUGACACGCUGUCAAUAGUACCAACUAGUAUGGCGAAGGGAGAGACAUUCCUCCCGACAAAGAUAUCGUUAACAUAGGUCGGUGCAGUAAAUCACAUCUAUAAUAGAGCAAAACGUACAAGUAACUUCUUUUUGCAUAAGUUAAUGAGGAUGGCGAGAAGAGGUGGAAUGUUACCGAAUACGUCUUGUUGUGUAUAAUGUCCGAAACAUGGGUAAACGCUACAGUCUUGCGACGAUCAAUGGAUGGCUGCCCACUUUGACUAUUUUGUCGACGAAACAGAAGAAUUUCAAUCCAAUUUAAUGUGCAUAAGGACUGACCUGCUCAGUAAAAAACAACAAUUACCGACACGAAUGAGAUAUAUUGCCAUGAAUUUGAAGAAAUGGUUAGUGAAGGAGAGAUGAGCUAACACCAAUAGUCUAUAAGGUUGAGCGUUGGGAAAAGUUAAAGGCUAGGCAAUGAAGUAUGUUUUAAAAAACGCGGCUUGAUAAUUCAAUAAGGAAUUAUAAUGUUGUAGGUCUGGGGAAAAGUAUACUGAUUUAGUUUUCUUAUUUAGAUUUAUGUGAUAGGUUGUAUUCAUAUACCUUUAUAUAUUCUUUUCCGAUUGGGUUUACCUAAUACACCAGCCCACGGGAAAUAUAUGAUACUACGCGGAAUAAAACUAUAUGUAAAAAAACAAAGCAAUAAUAAGCUUUUCCUAAUAAGCCGCAAUUUAGAAAGUGGAGAUAGGAUUUUGGGUUAUUAAAAAUGGGCUUAUUUUAACCAUAAAAUUCGUCAUAAAGAUAUAUUGU